rfam:Pteropus vampyrus cont1.111218, whole genome shotgun sequence.
UAUGCACGCCUCAUCUGGCUGACAUACCGCUGUGGGCACUUGGCUGAGGGUGGCAGAAGACACUCAGCUAACACAAAGUGACACGUGCCUGGCAGGACAUUCAGCGUGUCUAAA